rnacentral:lncRNA from 1 species
GAUGAGGAAGGAAAUCAAGUUUGAGCAAUGAUACUGAUUUAUUUGACAAGGCACACUACACUGUUCUGCAACAGUCAUCCUUUGCGGCUUUGUAUAUCCAAGCAGAGGCAAGGAAGUGGUUUAAGAAACAGGCCGAAGAGAAAAAACAAGGGAGAUGGAGCCACCGCCAGUAAAUUGAAGAGAAUUAAAUUUUUUUAUCAGGAUGGAAGGAGCCAAGAAGAGGAUACCACUACUAUCAAACUACAAACGGGCGUUAGUCAAGGCUGAUGAGAG